rnacentral:rRNA from 1 species
UACAGAGGGGGCAAGCGUUGUUCGGAAUUACUGGGCGUAAAGGGCGCGUAGGCGGCCCGCUAAGUCGAACGUGAAAUCCCCGGGCUCAACCCGGGAACUGCGUCCGAUACUGGUGGGCUUGAAUCCGGGAGAGGGAUGCGGAAUUCCAGGUGUAGCGGUGAAAUGCGUAGAUAUCCGGAGGAACACCGGUGGCGAAGGCGGCUUCCUGGACCGACACUGACGCUGAGGCGCGAAAGCUAGGGGAGCAAACGGG